GAAAUUCAGUUUUAUUGCUUGUCCUUAUAAAACAAAAAAAUAUAUAUAUAAAAUAGGAGGUAUUGAAAAUUUUAUUGAGAAUAUAAAAUAAUAAUAGAGUAAUUGAAAUAAUAUUAAAAAUUUUAGUGAGCAUAGAAAAUAAUAAAGUAGGGAAAUUGAGAGAGAACUGAGAUUUAAAAAAGUCUAGAAAAUAAUUGUUUGGAGAAUUUGAGAGAAAUUGAAAGAGUA
rnacentral:misc_RNA from 1 species